rnacentral:rRNA from 1 species
UACGAAGGGGACUAGCGUUGUUCGGAAUUACUGGGCAUAAAGCGCACGUAGGCGGAUUUAUAAGUCAGGGGUGAAAUCCCGGGGCUCAACCUCGGAACUGCCUUUGAUACUGUAGAUCUCGAGUCCGAUAGAGGUGGGUGGAAUUCCUAGUGUAGAGGUGAAAUUCGUAGAUAUUAGGAAGAACACCGGUGGCGAAGGCGGCCCACUGGAUCGGUACUGACGCUGAGGUGCGAAAGCGUGGGGAGCAAACAGG